rfam:Pristionchus pacificus strain PS312 contig9279, whole genome shotgun sequence.
UCCCUGAUGGUCUAGUGGUGAAGGAGUCCGUCUUGGAGACGGAGGGUAGUGGGUUCGAGUCCCACUCCGUGCA